UACGGAGGGUGCAAGCGUUAUCCGGAAUCACUGGGUUUAAAGGGUGCGUAGGCGGCUUAGUAAGUCAGUGGUGAAAGACUGUGGCUUAACCAUGGAAUUGCCAUUGAUACUGCUGAGCUUGAAUCAGGUUGAGGUUGGCGGAAUGUGACAUGUAGCGGUGAAAUGCUUAGAUAUGUCAUGGAACACCGAUUGCGAAGGCAGCUGACUGGACCUGUAUUGACGCUGAGGCACGAAAGCGUGGGGAGCGAACAGG
rnacentral:rRNA from 2 species